rnacentral:rRNA from 1 species
UGGGGAAUUUUGGACAAUGGGGGCAACCCUGAUCCAGCCAUGCCGCGUGCGGGAAGAAGGCCUUCGGGUUGUAAACCGCUUUUGUCCGGGAAGAAGGAGCUGAGGUUAAUACCCUUGGUGACAGACGGUACCGGAAGAAUAAGCACCGGCUAACUACGUGCCAGCAGCCGCGGUAAUACGUAGGGUGCGAGCGUUAAUCGGAAUUACUGGGCGUAAAGCGUGCGUAGGCGGUGACUCAAGUCAGAUGUGAAAGCCCCGGGCUCAACCUGGGAACUGCGUUUGAAACUAGGUCACUAGAGUGUAGCAGAGGGGGGUGGAAUUCCACGUGUAGCAGUGAAAUGCGUAGAGAUGUGGAGGAACACCGAUGGCGAAGGCAGCCCCCUGGGCUAACACUGACGCUCAGGCACGAAAGCGUGGGGAGCAAACAGG